rnacentral:lncRNA from 10 species
AACAACAAAAAGCCCUGCUGCCUUUGUGUUCAGGAUGGUAGAAGAUAGUAAGGCCCUUUCAUCUAAUGGGAGUGUAGAUGUCAGGGCUGGAGGAUAAUGACUCAGAGCCGGUGGAAAUGCGGCCGGUGGAACAAGUUUCAAACAGGAAAGUGCUUGUGGGGUGACCUCUGGGGUCAGCCACAGAGCUUACUGCAGAUUCCACCAAAAAAGUAAGAAGAUCCAAAAGGGCAAGGCGUAGGGUCUGUCGGGCGGGUGUGUCCCAGUUUAAACAAAGCUGCUUUGAUGUGCUUCCCAGCGGGCAGGCACAGGAAUGCAAGGCCCUGCUCUGUCUUGCAGCCAAGAGGGAGUUAUAAACAUCCAUCUGCAAGGGAAGAUCCAUCAGCUCCUAUCAACCACACAGGAAAGAUUUACAGGUGGAAUGAUAUUGGUUUCCCUGUAAGUUUCUCACCAUCCUGCAGCCUUCUGAGGGAUAAUCUCUUGUUGGCCUGAAUAACCUCUCACCAGGAACUUAAACUUCCUAAAAAAUAUUAAAAGAAGGCUGGGCAUGGUGGCUCAUGCCUAUAAUUUCUGAGCUUUGGGAGGCUGAGGCCAGAGGAUCCCUUGAGGGCAAGAGUUUGAGACCAGCCUGGGCAACACAGUGAAAUACCAUCUCUACAAAAUAAAAACAUCAUUUAAAAAAAUUAGCCAGCUGUGGUGGCAUGCACUUGUGGUUCCAGUUACCUGAGAGACUGAGGCAGGAGGAUUGCUUGGGCCCAGGAGUUUGAGGUUCUAAGCAAGCUAUGAGUGUGCCACUGCUCUCCAACCUGGACAUCAGGGUGAGACCUUGUUUCUAAAAUAAAUAAACUCAAGAGUUUAGAAAAGCA